AUUGUGUGGUGGAAUUGUCAUUAUGUUGGCAACCACUUACGAAGCAGUCUUGUUGGUCGUCGCUCGCUAGGCUGCUAGCUGGCCAAUGCGAGAGUGGCAGGCGAAAAGAAAUAGAAUCUCCGAGCUAGCGAACAGCGCCAGCAUCCGCAAGUGGCACAGCUUUCGGGCUUCAUCUGCGUCCAGAGAUCCAUCCAAAGACGACAGUGGAGCGGCGACGACGACAACCGUCUGUUCGCCUUCAGUCUACGACAAAGAGAUCCGUGCCUGGCGGUGUGUCUCUGUUUUGUCUCAGUCUAUCCGACUGUAUCUGUUGUAGCCAGGACCAAAGUACCGCCGUAUAUACAGACACAGCAGUGAUCAUUACCACCCACCGCUGCUGCUGCUGCUGCUGCACCUACUAUUGCUCCAACUAGUUAUUCCUUGUACUAUCAGUAGCAUUAGUAUAAUUGCAACUGCGAUACAGGAAUACGACGGUGUUGGCUGCGGUUUGUCCUAUGCGGCCGUGAUCGUCUGGCCCAAACAAAACGGCGACAUCAUCGCUGCUCCAGCAGUGUUGCUUACCCCAAGCAAAUUUCACUGCCGCUACUGCUGUUGCUGGUACGGUAACUGUAGUCCCGAACGCGAAAUUGGACGUAGAGUAAACGCUGAAACCAGCGAAAGCGCAAGAAGAGGAGAAGCAGAGAGAGUGGCGGAGAAAGACAGAAACGCAGACACAUUGUAGAUCCUAACAGUAGGGAGAAAGCGGCAACGACAUCGGCGGCGGCCGCAGCAGCAACUCAGCUCAGCCGAAUUGAAACAGCAGGAACGGCAAGACACUAGCAGAAAUAAGAGCAGUCACAGGACUGCGUGCGGUGAAGUAGCAGUUGCAAAUUUAGGAUCUCUGCCUCGCUUCAUUGCUGCGGUCAGUGUCACGGCCGCGAGUGAGGGCGACUGAAGCUGUGACGAUUUCUGCAACAUUGGCGGCGGCGGCAGCAGCAUAAGCAAUCGCGGGAAUAGCAACAGCAGCUGACCUGUACUGCUUGGUAUCGUUGCAUUGUUUUCGUGCGUCGUUUUACUCGUGUGCUACGUACGAAAAGUGCUGCUAAUCGACAACUCUGCGUGCGCCCCUUUCGCCUGCUCGUCCGUGCGGUUGUACUGGUGUCUCUCAUUUCGGUGUGGAUUUCCUUUAGCGUUGUCCUGUUGAUUUGUGCUGAGAGACUGAGUUAAGGUGCUAAUCUGGAAAGAAAGCAAGCUAAAAAAACGAAGGCCGAAGGACAUUCAAAGAUCAGAACCCCAGUUGGCGGCCAGCCGGGUCGAUUUAGUAACGAUAGCUGAUCGUAGUAGUAGUUAUUGACGAAAUUUCAGCGCUCAAUUUUUCGACUGUUUUCUCGGACCUGCGUCCACUAAAUCAUCGCAGAGUUUGUUCAGCUCAACGCAUCUACGGUCAUUUGCUGCGUGCUGGUAAAGGCUUGCCAGCCAGUGCGUGUUUGUUGUGUGAGUGCGUCAGUGUGUCUACUCCGUUCUGUGAGGUUUUUCUCUCGUAUAUAUUAACGAGUUGUUUUACGGCAAGUGGCCGGUGGGCGCGAGCCUGUUACGCCCAGUACCGCCCCCGCGAUGAGCGCCCUGAAGCCUGGCAAAAAGGACAAGAUGCGCAUCCGUGCCUUUCCUAUGGCGAUGGAUGAGAGGUACGUGACUGAAAUAUGGAACCUCCUCAAGAAUGCCAUCCAGGAAAUCCAGAAAAAGAACAAUUCCGGCCUCUCAUUUGAAGAGCUUUACCGUAAUGCGUACACAAUGGUGCUCAAUAAGCACGGACAAAAAUUGUACGCUGGUCUACGGGAGGUCGUUACCGACCACUUAACUCACAAAGUACGAGUCGAUGUACUCAACUCGCUGAACAAUAACUUCCUUCAAACAUUGAACAAUGCGUGGAACGAACACCAGACCAGCAUGAUGAUGAUUCGUGAUAUUCUCAUGUAUAUGGACCGCGUUUACGUGGCACAGUACAAUGAAGAAAAUGUAUACAACCUUGGCCUAAUAAUUUUCCGAGAUCAGGUCGUACGGUACGGUUGUAUCCGAGAUAGACUCCGUGAGACGCUGCUACAGAUGGUCAUGAAGGAACGUCGAGGUGAGGUUGUCGAUCGGUCGGCUAUUAAGAACGCCUGCCAAAUGCUGGUUAUUCUGGGCAUUCAAAAUCGCACGGUCUAUGAAGAGGAUUUUGAGCGGCCGUUUUUACAGCAGAGUACAGAAUUCUAUCGAAGCGAAAGCCAGCGCUUUCUAGCUGAUAACAGUGCGUCUUCAUACGUUGCCAAGGUCGAACAGCGCAUCAAUGAAGAGAGCCAACGCGCCAAACACUAUCUCGACGAAGGCACGGAGGAGGCUAUCGUUAAGGUGGUCGAACACGAGCUGAUCACAGUCCACAUGAAAACGGUCCUCGAGAUGGAGAACUCUGGUGUGGUCCAUAUGCUCAAAAAUCAGAAGGUAGAAGACCUCAAUCGCAUGUACCUCCUUUUUGCGCGAGUACCGGAAGGACUAAAGUGUUUGGUCGAGCGGGUGUCUGCCUAUUUGCGUGAACAGGGCCGGGCAUUGGUCACUGACGAUGCAAAAGGUGAUGCAUUGAGUUUCGUUCAAAGCCUGCUCGACCUCAAGGACAAGAUGGACCUGUUUCUCAUCAAGUCAUUUAACAAUGAGCGCAUAUUUAAGCAUAUGAUUGCCAGCGACUUCGAAAGCUUCCUAAAUCUCAAUAAGAAGUCACCGGAGUACUUGUCGUUGUUUAUCGACGAUAAGCUCAAGAAAGGUGUCAAAGGCAUGACAGAACAGGACAUUGAAACUGUUCUUGAUAAAACGAUGGUAUUAUUCCGCUAUCUACAGGAGAAGGAUAUGUUCGAGCGUUAUUACAAGCAGCAUCUUGCCAAGCGUUUGCUGCUCAACAAAAGUGUAUCGGAUGAUGUGGAGAAAAAUAUGAUCUCAAAGCUUAAGACGGAGUGCGGUUGCCAAUUUACUUCAAAACUUGAAGGCAUGUUCAAAGACAUCUCGUUGUCAAAUACCAUGCACGAGGAGUUCCGACGACACGUUACCGAUACGGCAGCUCCAUUACUCGGAGUCGAUCUCGGGGUUCGUGUCCUUACAACUGGUUUCUGGCCGACGCAGACCCUCAGUUCGAAGUGCAACAUCCCUUGCUCAGCCAUGCAAGCGUUCGAGGCGUUUAAGAAAUUCUAUUUGAAUAAGCAUAAUGGACGCCAGCUCACAUUACAGCCGCAACUAGGUUCCGCCGACUUGAAUGCGACCUUCUACGGCCUUCGAAAGGAGGACGGUGACGAAUGUCCACCAGAGGUCGCCGCUGGUGCGCGAACCUCUUUCCGCAAGCACAUUCUGUCGGUUAGCACGUAUCAGAUGUGCAUUCUAAUGCUGUUUAACAAAAAGGACAACUUCACCUUUGAAGAGAUCAAACAGGAGACAGACAUCGCUGAGAAGGAUUUAGUGAGAAGCUUGCAAUCGUUGUCGCUAGGCAAGCCGACACAGCGUAUUCUUCUUAAAAACCCAAAGAACAAAGAAUUCGCUCCAACGGAUGAGUUAUCUGUCAAUGACCAGUUCGUAUCGAAGCUGUUUCGAGUGAAGAUCCAAGCGGUCACUGCUCGAGGAGAAAGUGAACCUGAGCGUAAUGAGACACAACGCAAAGUCGACGACGACCGCAAAUAUGAGAUCGAGGCGGCAAUCGUACGUAUAAUGAAGGCUCGUAAGACUAUGAACCACGCCGUGCUUGUUGCCGAAGUGACUGACCAGCUGAAGUCGCGCUUUCAACCAUCACCUUCACUGAUCAAGAAACGUAUUGAAGGGCUCAUUGAGCGCGAAUACUUGCAACGAUCACCAGAAGACAGGACCAGGUAUACGUACUUCACGGAGGGCGAGUCGGGUAUACCGACAGCUACACUUUCAGGUGGCCGUGUCCCUUCUUCCGGGACCCGGCUAGGGGUGACUAAUAGGGUGACACGUUUGUUUCGUCGGCAUACGGCAGGGCAACGCCACGAAGCGCGCGGCGACGAGUCAGAGCUUAUGAAUCAAGAGUCAGUGGAUUAAAAGGGUACAUGGUGGACACCUUGGUUUUGCCAACAUCAGAGGCAGCGAUAGGUGUCCCAUGAUGUCGUUAGUGACAGUUGGAGCGCUUCUUUGCAAUCAAGGCCGGAUACUAUUGGCACUGUUGAAUGAACGGAAGGAAGCCUCAAUUUGAUAAAGUGAAAGUAUAAUGCGGAAGAUACGCACUGGCGGGAUCUCACAAUAAACUGGACUAAGUGAAAGACAAGAGGAACAAAACUGUAUAUGUACGUAGCAUAGAGGUGUAUGCAAUUAUAAAUAUUGAAGAGCCGAUGAAUGGAGUAUCUAUCGUUUGUGGCAGAAGGAGCAGCCGCCAUGUAGAAGUGAUGCCUGCGAGCCACAAAACCGGUCGUGACUAAGGCAGCCCAAUGAUACAACAACAGCAUCUACGAAAGCAUCGAGAAAAUUGUAACACCUAAUACAAACAUAGGGAUAAUGCGAAGGGCGCAACAUGCCCUUAGGGCAGCAGUGAGCAACUGGGUUAUGACUAAGAGUAAGACAUUACAUUUCGAACCGUAACAACAAGAACAAAAAAGUAAGUCAACCGCUGGAAACAAUUAAGCAGCUUCAACGAUUAAGGGGGCAUUUACUAUAAGAAAAAGCAAACAAGAAAGCUACAGGAAAAUUAACGUCGUACUUGGGAGACACGUAUUUCUGACAUGACUUGAACUACCAAUCCGUUUUUAUUGUGACAGCUGUCAAAAAAGGCUAUGCGUAAGUGCUAAAUAACGUCCAGUGACAAUAGCUACAUACAUGGACUUGCGGAGCAUUAACUUUAUAAUCUUGUGACGUUUCGAUAAAAAGAAAUUUUAAGGGAAACCUCGAGCUUCUAGUGGAGACACGAAAGGAAAUACGUUUUAGGCCGAUAUACCAUGGAUGCGCCUAGCCAAGACCGAAACUGGCGUAGGAUACACUAAAUACAUGGAAAAAUGAAAGCAAAGACAGAACAACACAGCUUGCUUGUGAUUUGCAAGAUAAUUGCAGACGAAAGCUGUAGGUUGAAAACAAGCGGCAAAGAUCGUAGCGACAAAGUGAAGAACAUAACAAAACAUUAUGAUUCAUAGUUACAAACAACGGAAAAAAUCACACAAAGGAAAAUCACACACGAUGAGAGGUAAACUAAUUGACAAGUCGGGUGUGAGCUUCUGCUUGGGAGAAGGUAAAAAACUUUUGGGAGAUUUUGCUGCGGCCUUGCUUGAAAAAUGCAAGAAUAAAGAGAACACACACACAUAUAUAUAUAUAUAUAUAUAUAUAUAUAUAUAUGAACUACGAGAGGCCAGUAAAUGACGCGAGACUUAUAAAUAGAUAUAAAUAAGCUAUAAAUAACAGUUAAGAAGUGAUUAUGAUGCGAUUGCUGAUAGGGAGAAAACAGCGCUCGUCCUUCGAAAUCCCGCCGUGCGAAACCCGGUAGCAGUGUGAUCUGACACGUAGAAAUGUAGACAGCUGAUACUACGAGACGAUAAGCGCGCAUGAGGUGGGAGGGUGGCGGGAACUGAGAAGGGGAUAAUCAAAGGCCCCAUUGUGGACAGCGCAGUAAAGCGUUCAAUCUUAAUUAGAUAUAAAAGUAAAGACGACGAGAUUUAAAGCGCGAAAGAGAGAAUUUGACGCGAGCGAAUGUGUCUGUGACGGAAGGUAGUGUGGAAAGCAAAGAAAAAAAACUGCCUGUCAGCAGGUUGGUUGUUUGCGGUUGGAUGGCCACAAAGGACUCAAAAGAAAACGUGGUACUGGAAGACAAUAACAGCAACAAAAACAAAAAGAAAUAUGGUGAAAUAUGUGAAAAUUAGUAGUAGUGGUGAUGAUGAAGGGAUAAAUAACGAGAAAAGAAAAAACGAUGCGAAAAGCAAGAAAUACAGAUUCGAAGAUAAAGCGGAUAAUAAUAUUAAUAAUACUAAUAAUGAUAAGAAUAAUAAUAAGAAAAAGGAGAAAGAAUAAAUAUAGCAGUCCAGGUGGAUGUUUUUGGGAGAUGAAGCUAUGUUAAUUUGACUCCCGCCAACCACCUGUGAUAGCAGGGGCAUCAACUUCCCCUCAAACUGUGUUCAUACAUGUAAAUAAAGCUUACGACGGUGUUCCUUAAACGCUUUUCGUUCUUGAUUUU